rnacentral:rRNA from 1 species
UACGGGGGGGGUAAGCGUUGUUCGGAAUUACUGGGCGUAAAGGGCUCGUAGGCGGCCAACUAAGUCGGACGUGAAAUCCCUCAGCUUAACUGGGGAACUGCGUCCGAUACUGGAUGGCUUGGAUUUGGGAGAGGGAUGCGGAAUUCCAGGUGUAGCGGUGAAAUGCGUAGAUAUCUGGAGGAACACCGGUGGCGAAGGCGGCAUCCUGGACCGAGAUUGACGCUGAUGCGCGAAAGCCAGGGGAGCAAACGGG